UAGUCUAGUGGUUAGGGUAUUUAACUCCCAGUCGAAAGAUUCUGGGUUCGAUCCCCAAUAGCAAC